GACGAACGCUGGCGGCGUGCUUAACACAUGCAAGUCGAACGGAAAGGCCCUGCUUUUGUGGGGUGCUCGAGUGGCGAACGGGUGAGUAACACGUGAGUAACCUGCCCUUGACUUUGGGAUAACUUCAGGAAACUGGGGCUAAUACCGGAUAGGAGCUCCUGCUGCAUGGUGGGGGUUGGAAAGUUUCGGCGGUUGGGGAUGGACUCGCGGCUUAUCAGCUUGUUGGUGGGGUAGUGGCUUACCAAGGCUUUGACGGGUAGCCGGCCUGAGAGGGUGACCGGCCAAAUGGGGACUGAGAGACGGCCCAGACUCCCACGGGAGGAAGCAGGGGGGAAUAUGGCAAAAGGGGCGGAAGCCUGAUGCAGAAACGCCGGGUGCGGGAUGAGGGCCUUCGGGUUGUAAACCGCUUUCGCCUGGGACGAAGCGUGAGGGGCGGUAAUGGGAAAAGAAGCACCGGCUAACUACGU
rnacentral:rRNA from 1 species